UUUUUUUUUCUUCCUAGAGCAUUGAUGGAAAGUUGAUAAAUAGGUAUCCUCAAGGGGUGCAACACCUUUUACACGAUGCCAAAGUUGAUAGGCUCACGCAAGAACCUCUCCAUCUGCUUCGCCCUCGUCUUAAUGGACAUAUCAAACACCUUCUGCCCAAACUCUACCACAAGGCCCCCAAGAAUACUAGGAUCAAUCUUCUGCUCGAGCUUAACUUUCUUUCCUUUUCCAAUUAUUUCCUGCAGUGUCUCCUUCAAUUCUUUCUCCUCUUCUGGAGGCAAGGGAAUGACACUUGUGACUAUAGCUUUCACUUCUCCCUUAUCUGCCAUGGUCAACUCCACGAAUCUCUUUGCAAUGCUAUCAAUGUUUCUUAACCUUCCAUUCUCAGCCAGCACAACUAAAAAGUUCUUUGUAACAUCUGAAAAUUUAGCUUGGGCAGAAAUUUCAUUAAUGGCCUUGAUUCUUGUUUCAGAAGGCACUGACAAGUCCUUUGUAAACUGAGAAAAUGUAGGGCUUCUCUUUGAAGCCUCCACAAGGUCAAGAAUAUCAGACUCAACCUUGUCCAGUACAUUAGCUUUUUUGGCAGCAAGGUACAAAGCAGAGGCAUAGUUUCCAGAUCCCCCAAACAAAGCAAGUGGCACCUUAACCUUCUCCUCCUUUUGUCCUGACGAAGUAGCAAAAUUUUUUGAAGCCUCAGAUGUGAAAGCAGGGCAAAGAACGGAGCGUUGAACGGCUGAUAGGGAAGCAGAGAGGGAAUCAGAUCUCAGAACCCUAUUGAGUAGAGGUAGACCCGAUCUGAGACGCCCAGCCAUUGCCAUGAUAUUUGUUGUUCUGCUAUUCUAUGCUUUUCGAGCUUUGAUACAGAGAGAUUUGCACGGAGAGAUAAAAUUCUCGAG
rnacentral:misc_RNA from 1 species